rnacentral:pre_miRNA from 1 species
CGCGGGACUAGUCAAGUGUCGGCUGCAACCAGAGCAGCCGACACUUUCCGGUUUUGCGAA